UACGGGAUAAUAUAUUUGAGAGGCAUCUCUUGAAUAUCAAAGGUGAGCCAGUACAGGAUGGACCCGCGUCUGAUUAGCUAGUUGGUAAGGUAACGGCUUACCAAGGCGACGAUCAGUAGCCGACCUGAGAGGGUGAUCGGCCACAUUGGAACUGAGACACGGUCCAAACUCCUACGGGAGGCAGCAGUGGGGAAUAUUGCACAAUGGGCGAAAGCCUGAUGCAGCAACGCCGCGUGAGUGAUGAAGGCCUUCGGGUCGUAAAACUCUGUCCUCAAGGAAGAUAAUGACGGUACUUGAGGAGGAAGCCCCGGCUAACUACGUGCCAGCAGCCGCGGUAAUACGUAGGGGGCUAGCGUUAUCCGGAUUUACUGGGCGUAAAGGGUGCGUAGGCGGUCUUUCAAGUCAGGAGUGAAAGGCUACGGCUCAACCGUAGUAAGCUCUUGAAACUGGGAGACUUGAGUGCAGGAGAGGAGAGUGGAAUUCCUAGUGUAGCGGUGAAAUGCGUAGAUAUUAGGAGGAACACCAGUUGCGAAGGCGGCUCUCUGGACUGUAACUGACGCUGAGGCACGAAAGCGUGGGGAGCAAACAGGAUUAGAUACCCUGGUAGUCCACGCUGUAAACGAUGAGUAC
rnacentral:rRNA from 1 species